rnacentral:lncRNA from 1 species
GUGAGAAUUAUAACGGAUAGGAUUGUGGUAAAUGUCCAAAUAUAUUCAGAUUUUGUCAUCUUGUUUUUUUUUUUUUAUAUUAAAAUAUUUCAUUUUCUUCAAUUUUAAAAAAACUGUAAGUAUUUAAUUUUCAAAUAGAGCCAACUAUAAAAUAUAUUCAGAUUUAGUUUACUUAAAUACCAUAAUUUAUAGAAUCUUGGAAGAUUCUAUUUUCAUUUUUCGAUACUUUUAAGUAUUUUAAUUUUCAUAUGGUGACAUCUAUCAAAAUAUAUUGGGGAAAUUUCUUGUUUACAACUUUUAUGGUAGUACUUUUCAUCUUUACCAUCAAUAAAUGGAUAUUUUCAAAAAUAUAUUUUUCAUUAAGUGACAAAAGACUUUCAUACCAUUGUUCUCUAUAUAUAUAAUAAAUCAUUAUUUAAAUAAAUAAUAAAAAUAAUAAUUAUAAUUUUUUAUGUUUUCGAAUUAUACUUUUUCAAAUUCGAACUUUUUAUAAAUUUUUUUUUGAGUUUUUUCGAAAUUUUUUAUUAUUAUUUUUUCAAAAUUUAUUUUUGAAAAUCGAAUAUUAAGUUUGAAACUAUUUAAAAAAAAAAUUAUAUUUUUUAAG